UACGUAGGGUGCAAGCGUUAAUCGGAAUUACUGGGCGUAAAGCGUGCGCAGGCGGUUAUGUAAGACAGAUGUGAAAUCCCCGGGCUCAACCUGGGAACUGCAUUUGUGACUGCAUAGCUAGAGUACGGUAGAGGGGGAUGGAAUUCCGCGUGUAGCAGUGAAAUGCGUAGAUAUGCGGAGGAACACCGAUGGCGAAGGCAAUCCCCUGGACCUGUACUGACGCUCAUGCACGAAAGCGUGGGGAGCAAACAGGAUUAGA
rnacentral:rRNA from 1 species